CGAUUCCUCAAGAAGAUCUCCGGCAACAACGGCGGCAACAAGACAAAUCCGAAGCUUUGGGUGGUCGUUGACAACGCCAAAGCCAAGGCGAAAGCUGGUCAG
rnacentral:snRNA from 1 species